AAGGAUGUGGCACAGCUUGAUAGUGCAUUUGUUUUGGGUACAAAAUGUCAUGGGUUCAAAUCCUGUUAUCUCUA
rnacentral:tRNA from 1 species